AUGUUAGUGUACAGACCACUGUUAUGUCAGCUGUUAUACCAGCUGUGUGUGCUGUUAUACCAGCUGUGUGUGCUGUUAUACCAGCUGUGUGUGCUGUUAUACCAGCUGUGUGUGCUGUUAUACCAGCUGUGUGUGCUGUUAUACCAGCUGUGUGUGCUGUUAUACCAGCUGUGUGUGCUGUUAUACCCGGCUGUGUGUGCUGUUAUACCCGGCUGUGUGUGCUGUUAUACCCGGCUGUGUGUGCUGUUAUACCCGGCUGUGUGUGCUGUAUACUCGGCUGUGUGUGUGUGUGUGUGUGUGCUGUAUACUCGGCUGUGUGUGUGUGUGCUGUAUACUCGGCUGUGUGUGUGUGUGUGUGUGUGCUGUAUACUCGGCUGUGUGUGUGUGUGUGUGUGUGCUGUAUACUCAGCUCUGUGUGUUUUCAGAUGUCCAGCUCGCCGCUGUCCAAGAAGCGUCGCGUGUCAGACUCCGAGACGAAGACGGGAUCCCACUGCUCCUCCUCUAACUCUGUCAGAACUGAACUGUCUCACACCCCCACCAACGUACGUACACACCAACGUACACACGCACACACACACACACCAACGUACACACGCACACACACACACCAACGUGCACACGCACACACACACACCAACGUACACACGCACACACACACACCAACGUACACACGCACACACACACACCAACGUACACACGCACACACACACCAACGUACACACACACACACACCAACGUACACACACACACACACCAACGUACACACACACCAACGUACACACACACACACACCAACGUACGCACACACGCACACCAACGUACGCACACACGCACACCAACGUACGCACACACACACACACACACACACACACACACACACACACACACACACUGCUCCUCUGUCUGUUUUACCUGAUCUUUCUGACUGGUUGUUUUCUCCAGGGCAUGGCUAAGAAUGGCAAUGAUGCUGAGAUCGAUGAAGGCCUGUACUCCAGACAGCUGUAA
rnacentral:lncRNA from 8 species